GUAAUCCUAGUCCUCUCUGCUCUUAUUGAUUGGUUGGACCAAUCAACUGACCCCAUUCUGGCCAAUGAGAUAAAAGGGCUGCUCUGGAACGGGUUUUCUCUUUUGUCAUCCUGCUGCUGCUGCUGCUGCUGCUGCUGCUGCUAAGUCGCUUCAGUUGUGUCCGUCUCUCACCAGGCUCCCUCGUCCCUGGCAUUCUCCAGGCAAGAACACUGGAGUGGGUUGCCAUUUCCUUCUCCAAUGCGUGAAAGUGAAAAGUGAAAGUGAAGUCGCUCAGUUGUGUCCGACUCUUCGCGACCCCAUGGACGGCAGCCUACCAGGCUUCUCCGUCCAUGGGAUUUUCCAGGCAAGAGUACUGGAGUGGGUCGCCAGUGCCUUCUCCCGCUUUUGUCAUAAAGGAGAGGAAAAGGGGUUGAUGGUUUCGCCUUUUCUUCUCACCUUUAAGUGUGUUUUUUGAGGUGAUAGUGGUUAGAGCUCGAGGGACAAUAUUUCUAAUUCACUGAGGAUGAAAUGGAGUGCACGGACGAAGGACACCUUGGAGCAACAGAACCAAUUGCUCUGCUGACUCUUCUGGGCUCCUCGUUCUGUGAGAUGAGGAAGGAGGAGAUGAGAGAACAUGUGGAAUGAAGGAUGGAAAGGAGAACCAACAAGAUGAAGGGAACUGGUAUUAGUAGUCAUAUGUGGAUGUGAGAGUUGGACUAUAAAGAAAACUGAGUGCCAAAAAAUUGAUGCUUUUGAACUGUGAUGUUGGAGAAAAGCCUUGAGAGUCCCUUGGACUGCAAGGAGAUGCAAGCAGUCCAUCCUAAAGGAAAUCAGUCCUGAAUAUUCAUUGGAAAGACUGAUGCUGAAGCUGAAACUCUAAUAUUUGGGCCACCUGAUGUGAAGAACGAACUCAUUGGAAAAGACCCCGAUGCUGGGAAAGAUUGAAGGAGGGAGGAGAAGGGGUCAACAGAGGAUGAGAUGGUUGGAUGACAUCACCGAUGCAAUGGACAUGAGUUUGAAUAGGUUCUGGGAGUUGGUGAUGGACAGGGGAACCUGAUAUGCUGCAGUCCAUGGGAUUGCAAAGAGUUGGACAUGACUGAGUGACUGAACUAAACCGACCUAGUGUAAUAAGAGAAAACAAAAAGAAAAACAUUCAGAUUGAAAAGGAAGAAGUAGAAUUUCUUACUUGUAAAUAAUAUGACCAGCUAUUUAGAAAACUCAACGGAUUAUAUAAAAGUGCUACUAAAAUUAAUAAAUGAGGUUAGCUACCUAUAAGGUUCAAUGGUGAACUUACAAGAACUGUAACUGCAAAAUAGAAAUAACAGAAUCCAGUUUAUUUGGAGGCUGGUUACCCCGACACUAGUUACCCCUCAUUUGAAUAUGUGUCGUUGAUGAUGCCAUAUCCCACGUGUACAGCACAAGUGACUUAAUUUCAUCUCUAUAUAUAAGCUAAACAACCCGACUUCAGUCUUUGUGUAGAUGGUUAGCAGACAAAAAUGUUUGGUAAUGAGAUCAUGUGAUUGCAUUAUGGGUUUGUUUAUGAAAUUUAAUCUGUGUAACACUUCCAAUCUCAGAACUGUUUGGUUAUUCAUAUUUAUAUAUUGAGGGAGAAUACAAU
ensembl:lncRNA